UUUUAAAGUUCAAUACGCACCUAAAUUCUUUGUGUUCAUGACAAGAUAAAGAUAUAUUUAUUUGUAUAAACAUGUGUAACAUAAUACAUGACUUUAUCAAAUUUAUAUUACCUGCCAGAAUUUCAUUAUCUAACAAAAACUUUUUCGUUUUGUUCGCACUAUCAAGAAAGAUAAGAAACAUAUUUUAUUACAAAGACACAUUAAUAUCUAACAUGUAUUUGUGUAUUUAUUUUUUAAUCAUUAGUGAGUUGCAUGUAAAAGGUGCUAAGUUUGGUGUGCUCCAGGAAAACUAUUCAAUUAUGUAAUCAGAAGUAGUAAGUUGGAAAUGGGAAAUGUGCAGCAAUACCAGCAAAAGUAUUGUUUAAUACUAAAUUCUAAUUCCUUCUUAGCUUAAUUUUACAAAUUAUUAUGGCAAUAAAACAAUCAAGUAUCCCCAAAUUGUA